GGUAUUUCUUGUCCGCUUUAUUACUCCUCAGACGAAGCUUACAAAUAUCAAUCAUGUUACAAACUAGAGAGUAAUUACCACACAACAAAUGCUCCAACAAAUAAUAGAGAAACAACACACCCCUGUGGUACAAACAGGUGUUCUUCCUCAGCAAAGAAAUUGAAGUCCCAUAUUCCAGCAAUAGUCUAACUGUUUCUGAUUAUUAACUUGGUGGAUGGACAUAUCUUCUUCA